CCUACGGGAGGCAGCAGUGGGGAAUAUUGCACAAUGGGCGCAAGCCUGAUCCAGCAAUUCCGCGUGUGGGAUGAAGGCCUUCGGGUUGUAAACCACUUUUGUAGAGAACGAAAAUGAUACUUUUAAUCAAGUAAGCUGCUGCUGGUACCCUCCGAAUAACCACCGGAUAACUACGUGCCAGCAGCCGCGGUAAUACGUAGGGUGCGAGAGUUAAUCGGAAUUACUGGGCGUAACGGGUGCGCAGGCGGUUGAGUAAGACAGAUGUGAAAUCCCCGGGCUUAACCCGGGAAUGGCAUAUGAGACUGGUAGACUAGAGUGUGGGAGAGGUAGGUGGAAUUCCACGUGUAGCGGUGAAAUGCGUAGAGAUGUGGAGGAAUACUGAUGGCGAAGGCGGCCUCCUGGAACAUAACUGACGCUCAGGCGCGAAAGCGUGGGGAGCAAACAGGAUUAGAUACCCUGGUAGUC
rnacentral:rRNA from 1 species